rnacentral:lncRNA from 1 species
AGGUGGAGCGGCACCAUUACUGCAAUGAGAAUCAAUCGCACAGGGCGGGAGAUCGGAGAAACUGCGCAUUCCAUUUUAAGAGACAAGCUAAGCAGCUUUUCCUGGGGCGAAUGCUAUUGAAUCUAUUGUUCGGUGAUGCAAAGAGGACCCGCCGGCCGCAGUAUGAUGAAUUUUUUCAAUUCAUUGUAUAUGAAGGAAUUGAGCGUUGGUCACUGGUGGCGCACGGAUCCGGAGUGGAGCGGCUGCGGGAGGAUUUCGAAUUUCGGUGACGGUGCUAGGCGGG